rnacentral:piRNA from 1 species
UGAUGACUAACGGGUGGACAGCAUGUGC